UCAGAAUAUUUUGUUGCCCUGCUUAAAACAUUCCAGUGGGCUUCCUAAUUGCUUAGAAUAAAACCACCUUUAUUAAAUGAACUAUAAGAUCUUCUGUGAGCUGCCCCUGACGCCCUUGCCAGCCUCGUCUUGCUCACUAUGCUUCGGACACCUUAAAGAGGCUUAUUCUGACUCACCAAAAAAACUACACCCCCACUCUCCAUCUCAUCAGCUCCUCGUAUUUUCUUCAUAACACUCAUCACUGGGUAGGAUCAUCUUGUCUGUGUUCAGGUUUCAUCAUCUGUGUCCCUCCCACCAGCAGUGGGGACUCCACAAGCACCAGAAGAAUCUGUCCCAUUUACCGUUGCUUCCUUAGCCUCCACCACAGUGCCAGGGAACAGCAGUGAGUGCCAGGCUUCUCCGCUGUGGGUUAGAUCAUUCAAACCCCUGGCACCUCUCUUCAGAAUUCCUACCCAGAAUCUCCCAGGAAAGAGCACCGAAGACAGAGGCAAAGACCCGUGUCCCGGUUCUGCCUGAAAGGCACCACCCCCUGUGUGAUCUUGGGCAAGUUACUUAACUUCUCCUAGUCUCCACUUCCUCAUUUCUAAAGUGACAGCCGUAUGUGAUAGAUUUUUUUUUUGUAAGAAUAAAAUAUGAGUGUUCUCAUAGCCUUGGGGGAGGCGACAGCAGUUGUUCUCUUUCAGGAGUAAAAGCAUUUGCCUCUCAGGGAGGGGAGUGACUACAGGGCCACUCCCGUGGGACUUUUCUCACCCCUUGUCCAUGCCCCUUCUUGUUGGUUUUCUUCAUGUUGUUUUUUUGUCUCUGCUGUGACUAUAUUUUGAGUGACUGUAUGGAUGGUAAGCUCCAUGUUAGUCCAUCAACAAGUAUAUUUUUGAGAGCUCGCUGUAAGUGACGGCUGUAAAAACCAGUUCCUGCCCUCAUUCAGGGACGCUCUGCCUGGUCCCUGGAGGGCAGGGGUCCUGUCGUCCUCUUUGGCUGCUCUACAAAGUUCUGUCAGGGUUCUGGAUAAGUGGGUUAGUUGGUGUGCCUGCCACGGAAAAGACCUGCCCUGAGAGCAUUCAUCAUUCAGCAGAUGAGAUUUCCCAAGGGCCUGUAAUGUCGGGCGCCAGGAGUUCGGGAUGAGUCACACUUGAUUGCUGAGUUCACAUCGCACCUAGACUCGAGGAAGAACAGGGCUGGGGCAUCUGACUCUUCGCUGAGCAUGCUGAGAAAUGCAAUAUGUACAAUGCAAAACUUAUUCGGAAGCACUUAAGCACCCAUUUUGCACCAGGAACCAAGGACGCAAAAUUCAAGGACCCCCUCACGCCAGGGAGUUCACCUGCAAGAUCAAAUAAAAUCAUCAGGGCUCCAGACCAUCCUCUGUGUGUGCAUAGCAAAGGAAACGCUAUCUUCAGGUUUCUCUGUGGUGCUCUCUGUGCACCUGUCACAACUCACUCAGUUGACAUCUCUGCUGACAGCCAGGCCCAGGAUAUCUGAGUGCUUGUUUUGUAGACAGCCCUCACUCUCUAUUUGUUCUCAUGGUUUGUGGUAACAACUCCUCAUGGAAACACUGACUGUACUCCAGGGAAACUGCCCCGAAGUGCCAGGGCACAGCCCAAAAUUGUAUUUGUAUUACACAUUCAUAAUGUAUAUGUAUAUGUAUAUUUAUACAUACCUGCUAUAUAUAUGUAUAAAUAAUUUUCUACAAUGAGUCGGUAUCACUUUUAUGAUAAGGCAGAAAUAAAAGUGUGCUUUGUGUUUCUCUUUA